rnacentral:rRNA from 1 species
CAUGCAAGUCGAACGGCAGCACGGGUGCUUGCACCUGGUGGCGAGUGGCGAACGGGUGAGUAAUACAUCGGAACAUGUCCUGUAGUGGGGGAUAGCCCGGCGAAAGCCGGAUUAAUACCGCAUACGAUCUACGGAUGAAAGCGGGGGACCUUCGGGCCUCGCGCUAUAGGGUUGGCCGAUGGCUGAUUAGCUAGUUGGUGGGGUAAAGGCCUACCAAGGCGACGAUCAGUAGCUGGUCUGAGAGGACGACCAGCCACACUGGGACUGAGACACGGCCCAGACUCCUACGGGAGGCAGCAGUGGGGAAUUUUGGACAAUGGGCGAAAGCCUGAUCCAGCAAUGCCGCGUGUGUGAAGAAGGCCUUCGGGUUGUAAAGCACUUUUGUCCGGAAAGAAAUCCUUGGUUCUAAUAUAGCCGGGGGAUGACGGUACCGGAAAAAUAAGCACCGGCUAACUACGUGCCAGCAGCCGCGGUAAUACGUAGGGUGCAAGCGUUAAUCGGAAUUACUGGGCGUAAAGCGUGCGCAGGCGGUUUGCUAAGACCGAUGUGAAAUCCCCGGGCUCAACCUGGGAACUGCAUUGGUGACUGGCAGGCUAGAGUAUGGCAGAGGGGGGUAGAAUUCCACGUGUAGCAGUGAAAUGCGUAGAGAUGUGGAGGAAUACCGAUGGCGAAGGCAGCCCCCUGGGCCAAUACUGACGCUCAUGCACGAAAGCGUGUGGAGCAAACAGGAUUACAUACCCUGGUAGUCCACGCCCUAAACGAUGUCAACUAGUUGUUGGGGAUUCAUUUCCUUACUAACGUAGCUAACGCGUGGAGGGUGACCGCCUGG